GACGAACGCUGGCGGCGUGCUUAACACAUGCAAGUCGAACGAAGUGGCGAACGGGUGAGUAACGCGUAAUCAACCUGCCCUUCAGAGGGGGACACCAGUUGGAAACGACUGCUAAUACCGCAUACUGAAGGAGGGGAUUGCGUCGGAUUAGCUAGCUGGAGGGGUAACGGCCCACCAAGGCGAUGAUCAGUAGCCGGUCUGAGAGGAUGAACGGCCAAAAUGGGAAUGGGACAGGGCCCAGAAUCCUACGGGAGGCAGCAGUGGGGAAACUUCCGAAAUGGACGAAAGUCUGACGGAGCAACGCCGCGUGAGUGAUGACGGCCUUCGGGUUGUAAAGCUCUGUUAAUCGGGACGCGGUACCGGAAGAGGAAGCCACGGCUAACUACGUGCCAGCAGCCGCGGUAAUAC
rnacentral:rRNA from 1 species